GUGGGGGAUAUUGCACAAUGGAGGAAACUCUGAUGCAGCGACGCCGCGUGAGUGAAGAAGUAUUUCGGUAUGUAAAGCUCUAUCAGCAGGGAAGAAAGACUCGUAAGAGAGAUGACGGUACCUGACUAAGAAGCCCCGGCUAACUACGUGCCAGCAGCCGCGGUAAUACGUAGGGGGCAAGCGUUAUCCGGAUUUACUGGGUGUAAAGGGAGCGCAGACGGCUUAGCAAGUCUGAAGUGAAACCCCACGGCUCAACCGUGGGCUUGCUUUGGAAACUGUUAGGCUAGAGUACUGGAGAGGUAAGCGGAAUUCCUAGUGUAGCGGUGAAAUGCGUAGAUAUUAGGAGGAACAUCGGUGGCGAAGGCGGCUUACUGGACAGCAACUGACGUUGAGGCUCGAAGGCGUGGGGAGCAAACAGG
rnacentral:rRNA from 1 species